rnacentral:rRNA from 1 species
AUGAUUUGGACUGUAGAAGUUGGUGUACAGAAGAAGAAAGGGCGAGGUGUUCUAAAAGGUUUUAAAGCAUCUAAGAAGUGUUUUGCCAAUGGAUCUGCAAAGCUAAAUAUUACAUUCUCUGAAAAAUUGGGUGGUAUAGUAGGAAUGAACUAUCGUUCAUUCAAGGAUGAUGUGGUAGUCAUAAUGAAAAGAAAGUUACCACUCAUUGGAGUGAGGACGUGGUCGGGCAUUCACCCUACCAUCCAUCAACUCAUUGUUGUAGAUAUGAUAGACAUAUGGGACUUGGAAGAUACACCAGAAACAGAAGAAAAAGUUCUCAAAAUUGCGAAAGAGCGAUAUAGAGGCUGGUGA